AACAAGUCGGGGGAUGGAAAUCGUGUUUGCACACAGGCCUGAAGGCAGACACAAUACGUGUGUCUGUGUGUGUGUGUGUGUGUGUGUGUGGGGCCAGCGUAUGGGUGGGUGGGGAUUUCCUCUCUCCGUGCAAAUUGCGUGCCCCCUGACUGGUCUUGCCCCAGCCCUGGCCAGCAGCUGCUACCGAAAAGGGAUGAAUCAUCUUGGGUCUCUCUCUCCCUCCCUGACUGAAGCGACAGGCUCAGGGGGAAAGAAGUGAGAGGAAGGCUGGAGCAGAGGAAGCGAGAACCCUCCAGAGAUGCGGAGCUGGACAGUUUUGCAGCUGUGCUGGUACCUGGAGCCUGGGCAGGCUGGGAGUCCUGCUUAACCCCACAGCCUGCAUGCUGGCACCAAGUGGGGGUCAAACCUAGGGCCUUCUGCUCCCAGGACAUAAGUCCCCCUCACUAUUCGGAUCUGCUGGAAGAACCAGAAUCCCAGCAGAAGUGCUGAGUCAUGUGGGGGAGUUUGCUGGCAUAACUUCUCCCCACCUGCACCCAAGGCAUUGUUGAGAAAAGAAAGUCUGCUGCCACCUAAGAGACCCAGAAUCAGAACAACGGUGUGAUCUGAACAAGAUGAAGGGGUGGUUUCAUGAUAAGAAUAAACUACAAGCUUCUUCUGCUCCUUCUAGAGAUGCUCAAGAAGACUAUGGGAUAAAGCCACUUAUCUCAACUGAUAAAGGUAUAGAGCUGAGGAUGCCUGAUCUUUGCUUACUGCUCCCCUGGCCCCAUCCUAAAGAAGGGCCCCACCAGUGAACUUAUGGACCCAUGGAACCAUUCCCACUGAGCAAGAAAUAUGGCCUGAUAUCUCCAAGGUAACUCCAGAAACUCCAAGAGGAGAUGAAGAGAAUCCAGGAAGUCACCAGCUGUGGUGAACAUUGUGCCUAACUUGACACCCUUUGUUUUGCCCAUUUCUGCUGCCACUCUAAGAAAAGCCACUAUGGGGUGAACUCCUGGGCUCCCAGGGCUGCUCCACGUCAACACCAAAUCUAGAAACCUCUGGUACUGGAUUUAACUACCCCUGGGGUUGCCAUGAAGAUGAAGUUCCAGGAUCCUGGAAGGCUGAGGGUGGAAACCAAGUUAGUGAUGAGGCAGGAGGAGAAGAUGGGGUGAGCUCUCUUGUAAAACAGAGCAGGGAGCUGGAUCUACUGUUUCAGAGUGAGCAGGCGAUGGCAAGCAGGAAGACACACUGUGUCGCCGGCUCACACCCACUCCUGCUGCCUGCUGCCUGCUGAUGGCCACGCCUCCUGAAAAGGCUGGAUUCAGGGUGGCCGCUCAACUUCGCAGCACCUGCUAUCUCCACUCUGUGCCCACUCCUUCGCCUGCCACGUCUCCUACAGACACUGAAAGGGCCCUAUCAAUUUAUUUGGUUAAGAUCCAUUUCAAUGCUCAGAACCCUAAUGUGGUCUGCAGAGCAUGAAUCCAGAUGGCCUCGGGUUGCCUUGCACCAGUCCUGUACUGUGCUGCUCUCCCAGUCUGUUUUGACUCCUCAACCUAAGGCAGGAAUCUUCCAAAGACCUGGAUCCUCCUACUUAGAGAACAAGGAGGGCAGGUGAUGAGAAUAAGGGGGCUAUCAAUGGAAAAGCAGAGCAACAAGAUCUUACAAAUACAGGGAGAAUGUCCACUGAGGUUGCAGGGUUUUGCAGGGUUUUGCAGGGAUCAAGGGAGGGGCACAGGUGGGUAGGUAGAAAGUUCCAGUCCCUAGGAAAUUAGAAAACUCUCCAUGUAUCGUCUCCGCACUAACAGCACCAAGCAGCAGCCCAUAGCCACCAACACCGGCUUCUGCUUACUGGUCAAGAGGAAGACAUCCCAGGGAGAUUUGAGAUUCGUGACAUAGCAGUUUGUGACUAUCAGGGUGCUGACCUCUCUGAGAAGCACAAGGUGACACACCUCAACAUCCAGACACAUCUACAUGGUUUCCAGAGGGCAUCUCUAUGACAGGGGCCCUCCAAUGGCAGCAGGAGGCCCCUGCAUAUGGUUCAGUGAACCAGAUUCCUCUUGCAGGGCACAAAUGGAAUGUGAGGCAAUGCCACCAUUUAGGGGCCAGCACAGAGACUCAGGGAACAAGAAGCUUAGAGCAAAGCAAGUCACAUGAUGUUAAGGCUAUGUGACUACUACAGCCUGCACAAGGAGAUGUUGUCACGCACUCCUCAAGACUCCAGAGAAGCCAAAAUAAAGAAAAGAGCCCCUGGCAAACAAAAUGAUGCCUGAAACCCACAUACUAAGCUUCUGCCUGUCACCUAUGGGAAAGCCCUUGGCCCUGCCCCGUGGCCCAGCCACUGAAAGCCUAUUUACUUUUAUUUUAGAAACAAACUCGUUUAUUUAAUUUCUCAUCCCAGAGGAGUUGAAAAGGGCACUGGGAUUAAUAGUGGCAGGUUCCUAAAAGACUUCCAGAAGUGACAACUAGCAGCCACGAAUUAGACCAGGGAUGCACACAUUUUUUCUAUAAAGGGUCAGACAGUCAAUAAUUUUAGCUUUGCGACUACUCUACUCUGCUCUGUAGCGUGAAAGCGGCCCCUGAUGAUAUGUAAAUGAGUGGGUAUGGCUAGGUGCCAGUGAAACUUUAUUUACCAAAACGGACGACGGGGACGUAGGCUUUAGUUUUUUGAUCCCUUGAUUACACAAAAAGUAUCAAAACAUGAUAUUAAAACCACUGGAAAAGCACAGCAGUCUGGGGCUAUUUAGGACAGGGGCAAACAGCAGACACACCUCAACAGAUCUGACCAGUGUCCCCAGACUGUGGCCUGGGCUCAGGAUUCCUUGCACUGGUUAGAAAAGGCACUGUGUCUCAGUCUUUGCCGCCGCGCCGGCGAGCGCCGCCCGGGAGGCAGCGGCUGGAGGAGCGGACGGGCCCCGCGGGGCCGGAGGGCAAGGAGCAGCCGCCUGCCUUGGCCUCCC
rnacentral:lncRNA from 1 species